rnacentral:lncRNA from 12 species
CGGGGCUUCCACCACACACCUCACUUCCGGCGGGGGACGGGGCGGGGGGGCGUGUGUCUGCACGAGGUCUCGCGUGAAGUGGCUCUGCGGGAGCGGGAGCGGGAGCGGGAGCGGGAGCGGGUGCGACGCACGCGGCGGCGCAGGCGUCGGCCGCCCCGAGACCCACCGACACCCUUCGGGAGGUCGCAGCAGGCCCGACGCUGCGGGGGCUUCCCUGGAACCGGGCUGUGCCCCCGCGGCCACGUGGGGAGGCGGCGGCAGAGCCCCUCGGAGCGCCGCGUGCCUCCCGGAGGACGGCGAGAGCCGCAGCCCCGGCGGCUGCUGGGCCGCGGAGGCGGACAUUUGGAAACCAGCUCCGUGGAAGUUGUGAGGCACCCAGAGAGCACAAACUUCUAUCUUUUAUCUCAUGGAUCCAAUGUAACUGUUACCGAAGACCUGUGACCAAUCUCAUGAGGAAAAUUAAAAUUAGGACUGGCUCUUCAGAAUUGCUCUAAAUUAAAGUAAGUUUCCUGAGCUUUUGUCCUCCAACAUUAACCAGUUGUCUUAUCACUUAAAUGAGUCAAAAAAUAGUUUGAUUAUCAAAGGAUUUAUAAAGAUUCUGAGAAAACUGAUGUUAUCUUGGAAUAUUUUUUCAAAAAUAUUUUCUUGUGAUCACCUUGCGUUUAAUUGAUUCUUUGCUCAAAAUACAA